GGGUUGUGAGGUUAAGCGACUAAGCGUACACGGUGGAUGCCCUGGCAGUCAGAGGCGAUGAAGGGCGUGCUAAUCUGCGAUAAGCGCCGGUAAGGUGAUAUGAACCGUUAUAACCGGCGAUACCCGAAUGGGGAAACCCAGUGUGAUUCGUCACACUAUCAUUAACUGAAUCCAUAGGUUAAUGAGGCGAACCGGGGGAACUGAAACAUCUAAGUACCCCGAGGAAAAGAAAUCAACCGAGAUUCCCCCAGUAGCGGCGAGCGAACGGGGAGGAGCCCAGAGCCUGAAUCAGCAUGUGUGUUAGUGGAAGCGUCUGGAAAGGCGCGCGAUACAGGGUGACAGCCCCGUACACAAAAGCGCAUGUGCUGUGAGCUCGAUGAGUAGGGCGGGACACGUGGUAUCCUGUCUGAAUAUGGGGGGACCAUCCUCCAAGGCUAAAUACUCCUGACUGACCGAUAGUGAACCAGUACCGUGAGGGAAAGGCGAAAAGAACCCCGGCGAGGGGAGUGAAAAAGAACCUGAAACCGUGUACGUACAAGCAGUGGGAGCACAGGUUUACCUGUGUGACUGCGUACCUUUUGUAUAAUGGGUCAGCGACUUAUAUUCUGUAGCAAGGUUAACCGUAUAGGGGAGCCGGAGGGAAACCGAGUCUUAAUUGGGCGUUAAGUUGCAGGGUAUAGACCCGAAACCCGGUGAUCUAGCCAUGGGCA
rnacentral:rRNA from 3 species